rnacentral:rRNA from 1 species
AUUGAACGCUGGCGGCAGGCUUAACACAUGCACGUCGAACGAGUAGCGGACGGGUGAGUAAUGCUAGGGAAUCUAGCUUAUGGAGGGGGAUAACUACUGGAAACUGUAGCUAAUACCGCGUACCAUAGGAUUAGCCCAAGUGGGAUUAGGUAGUUUGUGAGGUAAAGGCUCACAAGGCCGACGAGCUCUAGCUGGUCUGAGAGGAUGAUCAGCCACACUGGGACUGAGACACGGCCCAGACUCCUACGGGAGGCAGCAGUGGGGAAUAUUGCACAAUGGGCGCAAGCCUGAUGCAGCCAUGCCGCGUGUAUGAAGAAGGCCUUAGGGUUGUAAAGUCCUUUCAGCAGGGAGGCGUUACCCGCAGAGGAAGCACCGGCUAACUCCGUGCCAGUAGCCGCGGUAAUUC